rnacentral:rRNA from 1 species
UAUUCCUACGGGAGGCAGCAGUGGGGAAUAUUGCACAAUGGGGGAAACCCUGAUGCAGCGACGCCGCGUGAGUGAAGAAGUAUCUCGGUACGUAAAGCUCUAUCAGCAGGGAAGAAAAAAAGUCUUUGGCUUUGGACGGUACCUGACUAAGAAGCCCCGGCUAACUACGUGCCAGCAGCCGCGGUAAUACGUAGGGGGCAAGCGUUAUCCGGAUUUACUGGGUGUAAAGGGAGCGUAGGCGGCAGGGCAAGCCUGAUGUGAAAGCCCGGGGCUCAACCCCGGGACUGCAUUGGGAACUGCCCCGC